CUACGGGAUGCUGCAGUGGGGAAUAUUGGACAAUGGGGGAAACCCUGAUCCAGCAAUGCCGCGUGUGUGAAGAAGGCCUGCGGGUUGUAAAGCACUUUCGGUUGGGAGGACUGCUUCUAGCACUAAUAUUGUUGGAAGUUGACGUUACCUUCAGAAGAAGCACCGGCUAACUCCGUGCCAGCAGCCGCGGUAAUACGGAGGGUGCAAGCGUUAAUCGGAAUUACUGGGCGUAAAGCGCGCGUAGGCGGCUAGAUCAGUCGGGUGUGAAAGCCCCGGGCUUAACCUGGGAACUGCAUCCGAUACUGUCUAGCUAGAGUACAGGAGAGGAGAGUGGAAUUCCACAUGUAGCGGUGAAAUGCGUAGAUAUGUGGAGGAACACCAAUGGCGAAGGCAGCUCUCUGGCCUGAUACUGACGCUGAGGUGCGAAAGCGUGGGGAUCAAACAGGAUUAGAUACCCCGGUAGUC
rnacentral:rRNA from 1 species